GACGAACGCUGGCGGCGUGCCUAAUACAUGCAAGUCGAGCGGACGAAUCGAAAGCUUGCUUUUGAUUCGUUAGCGGCGGACGGGUGAGUAACACGUGGGCAACCUGCCCUGUAGACGGGGAUAACACCGAGAAAUCGGUGCUAAUACCGGAUAACACGAAAUGUCGCAUGACGUUUCGUUGAAAGACGGCGCAAGCUGUCGCUACAGGAUGGGCCCGCGGCGCAUUAGCUAGUUGGUGAGGUAACGGCUCACCAAGGCGACGAUGCGUAGCCGGCCUGAGAGGGUGAUCGGCCACACUGGGACUGAGACACGGCCCAGACUCCUACGGGAGGCAGCAGUAGGGAAUCUUCCGCAAUGGACGAAAGUCUGACGGAGCAACGCCGCGUGAGCGAAGAAGGCCUUCGGGUCGUAAAGCUCUGUUGUUAGGGAAGAACAAGUAACGCAGUAACUGGCGUUACCGUGACGGUACCUAACGAGAAAGCCACGGCUAACUACGUG
rnacentral:rRNA from 1 species